CCUACGGGUGGCUGCAGUGAGGAAUAUUGGUCAAUGGACGCGAGUCUGAACCAGCCAUGCCGCGUGCAGGAAGACGGCUCUAUGAGUUGUAAACUUCUUUUGUACGGGGGUAAACGCAGAUACGCGUGUCUUUCUGAAAGUAUCUUACGGAUAAGGCUCGGCUAACUCCGUGCCAGCCGCCGCGGUAAUACGGAGGAGUCAAGCGUUAUCCGGAUUUAUUGGGUUUAAAGGGGGAGUAGGCGGGCGGAUAAGUUAGAGGUGAAAUCCCGAGGCUCAACUUCGGAAUUGCCUCUGAUACUGUUAGGCUAGAGAGUAGUUGCGGUAGGCGGAAUGUAUGGUGUAGCGGUGAAAUACUUAGAGAUCAUACAGAACACCGAUUGCGAAGGCAGCUUACCAAGCUACGUCUGACGUUGAGGCACGAAAGCGUGGGGAGCAAACAGGAUUAGAUACCCCUGUAGUC
rnacentral:rRNA from 1 species